UACGAAGGGGGCUAGCGUUGCUCGGAAUCACUGGGCGUAAAACGCACGUAGGCGGAUUGCUAAGUCAGGGGUGAAAUCCUGGAGCUCAACUCCAGAACUGCCUUUGAUACUGGCGAUCUCGAGUCCGGGAGAGGUGAGUGGAACUGCGAGUGUAGAGGUGAAAUUCGUAGAUAUUCGCAAGAACACCAGUGGCGAAGGCGGCUCACUGGCCCGGUACUGACGCUGAGACGCGAAAGCGUGGGGA
rnacentral:rRNA from 1 species